AGCGAACGCUGGCGGCAGGCCUAACACAUGCAAGUCGAACGGACCCUUCGGGGUUAGUGGCGGACGGGUGAGUAACACGUGGGAACGUGCCUUUAGGUUCGGAAUAGCUCCUGGAAACGGGUGGUAAUGCCGAAUGUGCCCUUCGGGGGAAAGAUUUAUCGCCUUUAGAGCGGCCCGCGUCUGAUUAGCUAGUUGGUGAGGUAACGGCUCACCAAGGCGACGAUCAGUAGCUGGUCUGAGAGGAUGACCAGCCACACUGGGACUGAGACACGGCCCAGACUCCUACGGGAGGCAGCAGUGGGGAAUCUUGCGCAAUGGGCGAAAGCCUGACGCAGCCAUGCCGCGUGAAUGAUGAAGGUCUUAGGAUUGUAAAAUUCUUUCACCGGGGACGAUAAUGACGGUACCCGGAGAAGAAGCCCCAGCUAACUUCGUG
rnacentral:rRNA from 1 species